GACGGAGGAUGCAAGUGUUAUCCGGAAUCACUGGGCGUAAAGCGUCUGUAGGCGGUUUAAAAAGUCCACUGUUAAAAAUUGAAGCUUAACUUCAAAGAUGCCGUGGAAACUUUUAAACUUGAGUAUGGUAGGGGUAGAGGGAAUUUCCAGUGGAGCGGUGAAAUGCGUAGAUAUUGGAAAGACCACCAAUGGCGAAGGCACUCUACUGGGCCAUUACUGACACUGAGAGACGAAAGCUAGGGGAGCAAAUGGG
rnacentral:rRNA from 1 species